rnacentral:rRNA from 1 species
UACGUAGGGUCCGAGCGUUGUCCGGAGUUACUGGGCGUAAAGGGCGUGUAGGCGGUCUGUUAAGUCUGGCGUGAAAGCUCUCGGCUAAACCGGGAGAGGUCGUUGGAUACUGGCAGACUAGAGGACGGUAGAGGCGUGUGGAAUUCCGGGUGUAGUGGUGAAAUGCGUAGAGAUCCGGAGGAACACCAGUGGCGAAGGCGACACGCUGGGCCGUACCUGACGCUAAAGCGCGACAGCAUGGGGAGCAAACGGG